AAACCAUGAUUCGGAGACCUCAUCAAAUAUUCCUUGAACCUCUCCCAAGCUCAUAAAGUUCUUUCCCCAGAAGUUGCUUGAAUUCAAAUAUCGUGUCUCUGAGUUU